AGCAGGGACAGCGGGUUGCCGACGGCGGCCCGCUCCAGCAGGCUGCCGCCCACCUCCAGCAGGCUCAGCAUCGCCUCGCGCUCAGCCGGUGCACAAUUAUGGUGAAGACAGAGAACAUCACGCUCACAAAUAUCCCAUUUGUGACAACACAGCUGUCUGGACGAUACAGACAUGUUAUCCUGGACUCACAGUUGCCUAUUUCCAAACUCAAACCUCCCAUAUGCUGCACUAAUUGGGAAACAAACAGCACAUCUCUUCCUGCUCUGCACAUACUGCUUUCAGAGCCUUGAUGUCAGCCUGACCAAGCUGUAGUUUCUGGCAGAAGAAUUCAAAAUCUUCAGAAGGAACAUUGCCAGCGAUCAUUUCUAUUAUCUUGCGCAAUAUUUUCUCUAAAUACAACCACAUAAAACGUAUAA